UCUCUAGUACCGCUCAAUUUUCGCAGGUGCACAAACCCACCAUAUGCCUUCCUCAAAACAGCCACCAUACCUACCUACUAUGGCAUUUUCAUAGCCAUUCCGAGAUAUAUUGCCAUGCAACUCCCACCGUUCUGUCUCAUGAUUUGUGCCGUCACUCUCAUAUUGCCAUUGCAUGAUCGUAAGACAGCUAGCGAGAUGUUUCAACGUCACACGCCAAGCUAGAUCGUUG
rnacentral:lncRNA from 1 species